CCUACGGGUGGCUGCAGUGGGGAAUAUUGGACAAUGGGCGAAAGCCUGAUCCAGCCAUGCCGCGUGUGUGAAGAAGGCCUUCGGGUUGUAAAGCACUUUCAGUGGGGAAGAAAGCCUUGGGGCUAAUACCCUCGAGGAAGGACAUCACCCACAGAAGAAGCACCGGCUAACUCCGUGCCAGCAGCCGCGGUAAUACGGAGGGUGCGAGCGUUAAUCGGAAUUACUGGGCGUAAAGCGCGCGUAGGCGGUCUGAUAAGCCGGUUGUGAAAGCCCCGGGCUCAACCUGGGAACGGCAUCCGGAACUGUCAGGCUAGAGUGCGGGAGAGGAAGGUAGAAUUCCCGGUGUAGCGGUGAAAUGCGUAGAGAUCGGGAGGAAUACCGGUGGCGAAGGCGGCCUUCUGGACUGACACUGACGCUGAUGUGCGAAAGCGUGGGUAGCAAACAGGAUUAGAUACCCUAGUAGUC
rnacentral:rRNA from 1 species